GAGCAUCCUUGCUCUUCAUGUCUCCGUAAACACAUCCAUGAAGAAGUGGUUCACUUUCAAGGGGAAGCUGUAAGGAAGCAUCUGAGGUUGGAGUCUCAAGGCAGGAAACAANUAUGCUCCUCCUGUGCUGCUGAGGGCACCCACAGGCGCUGCUCUGGCCUGAGAAACUGCACAGAAAGCUGGGAGUGUGACAUCUGUGCUGGUCUCGGCACAGCCUCCAGGGAUGGGCCGGAGCUCCAUGGCCCCAGCCUGACCAGCCAGUCAGGACUGGAACCUUCUCAUGGCUCCCCAGAAUCAGAGGCCAUCAGCUCCAGCUCCCACAGCCUGCUGCCAUCGGGUCUGGCUCCCCAGUCUCCAGAGACCAGCAGGCGCAGCAGCCACCGACAUGCAGCAGCGCAGACGUCGCUGCCACCUUCCUCGCUGGACACCGGCAGCUCAAGCACAUCAGGGUCAACGUACAGCAGCUCCACAGACCCUGAGAACAGGGUCCAUUGCAGAUGUGCUGGGCCUGAGCGCAGGCGAAAGCGCUCUCGCCAGCAAGGUCGGGCCCCAAAUCGACCCAUCCAGUCAAGGAGUCACCGUGACAGGAGCACCAGGGCAAAACCAAGGGCCGAGAGGCGCAGGCAAAGGGAGACACCAUCACGGCAAUUCCCCAGACAGCGUCAGGCCCAGAGUCCAUCUUUUCUGAUAAGGGAUGUAUAUGACAAGAGCCACAGGACAAUUUCAGGGACUGAGCGGCCCAGUGGAAGGGAGACACCAUCAGGGCCAGAUGCGUCCUCCAGACGCAGCUGCUCCCGCCUACAGCGUCGGGUCCAGAGUCCAGCUGUUCAGACAAGGAGUUGGAGUGACAGGAGCCACAUGAGAAUUUCAAGAGCUGACAGGCCCAGGCGAAGGGAGACAUGGUCGCAGACAUUCCCCAGACGCAGCCGCUUUCACCUGCAGCGUUGGGCCCUAAGUCCUGCUGUCCGGUCAAGGAGUCACCGUGACAGGAGCCACAGAAGAAUUUCAAGGGCCGAGAGGCCCAGGCGAAGGGACACACCAUUGUGGGCAUCUGCCACACGCAGCCGCUCCCGCCUGCAGCGUCGGGCCCAGAGCCCAGCUGUUCAGACAAGGAGUCGGCGUGGCAGGGACGACAGGACAGCAUCAGGGGCUGACAGGCCCAGGCGAGCAGAGACACCAUCAGGGCCGUCCCCCAGACGCAGCCGCUCCCGCCGGCAGCGUCGGGCCCCGAGCCCAGGGGGGGGGGGGGGGCGCCUGCAGCGUCGGGCCUCGAAUGGACCUGUCCAGUGCAGGAGUCGCCAGGACAGGAGCAGCAGCACAGCAGCAAGGGCUGACAGGCCCAGGCGCAGGGGGACACCGUCGGGGACGUCUCGCAGGAGCAACCGCGGCCGCCAGCGACAUCAGGCCUCAACUUGGACCUGAAACAGCAGCACUUAGUGCUGUCUUUUCUUUCUAGUCCCUCUGGUUGCUGCUGUUAGUGAGA
rnacentral:lncRNA from 1 species